UACGGAGGAUGCAAGCGUUAUCCGGAUUUAUUGGGUUUAAAGGGUGCGUAGGCGGUCCGGAAAGUCAGCGGUAAAAGCCCGGGGCUCAACCCCGGCGAGCCGUUGAAACUGUCGGACUAGAGACGGCGAGAAGUACGCGGAAUGCGCGGUGUAGCGGUGAAAUGCAUAGAUAUCGCGCAGAACUCCGAUUGCGAAGGCAGCGUACCGGCGCCGGACUGACGCUGAGGCACGAAAGCGUGGGUAUCGAACAGG
rnacentral:rRNA from 1 species